rnacentral:rRNA from 1 species
GCACGUGAUGAUCCCGUUGAUGAUCUUGGUCGGACCAUUGCUGAUGCACGGAGACGCUGCGAAACUGAAAAGGAGAGGGAGAAUUUGGAUCGCAUGUUAGAGGAUCACAGAAAGGCGUUGUACCCCGGAUGCGAUGAUGGUCUGAAAAAGCUGGGCUGCACACUGGAUUUGCUGAAAUGGAAGGCAGAGGCAGGUGUAGCUGACUCGGCAUUUGAAAACUUGCUGAAAAUGUUGAAGAAUAUGUUUCCAAAGGAUAACGAGUUGCCCGCCAGUACGUACGAAGCAAAGAAGGUUGUCUGCCCUCUAGGUUUAGAGGUUCUGAAGAUACAUGCAUGCAUCAACGACUGCAUCCUCUACCGCGGUGAAUACGAGAAUUUGAAUGAAUGCCCGGUAUGCACUGCAUUGCGUUAUAAGAUCAGAGGCGAUGACCCUGGUGACGAUGUU